UACCAGCACCCCGAGUGGUCGGGACGAUUAUUGGGCCUAAAGCAUCCGUAGCCGGUCCUACGAGUCUUCCGUUAAAUCCAGCUGCUUAACAGAUGGGCUGCGGAGGAUACUAUAAGACUAGGAGGCAGGAGAGGCAAGCGGUACUCAGUGGGUAGGGGUAAAAUCCGUUGAUCCAUUGAAGACCACCAGUGGCGAAGGCGGCUUGCCAGAAUGCGCUCGACGGUGAGGCGCGAAAGCUAGGGGAGCAAACGGG
rnacentral:rRNA from 1 species